rnacentral:tRNA from 1 species
GGAAGUGUGGCCGAGCGGUUGAAGGCACCGGUCUUGAAAACCGGCAAGGGCUUAUACCCUUCGUGGGUUCGAAUCCCACCGCUUCCGCCA